CGCCAGACUCCUACGGGAGGCAGCAGUGGGGGAUAUUGCACAAUGGGGGAAACCCUGAUGCAGCGACGCCGCGUGGGUGAAGAAGCGCCUCGGCGCGUAAAGCCCUGUCAGCAGGGAAGAAAAUGACGGUACCUGAAGAAGAAGCCCCGGCUAACUACGUGCCAGCAGCCGCGGUAAUACGUAGGGGGCAAGCGUUAUCCGGAUUUACUGGGUGUAAAGGGGGCGCAGACGGCGAUGCAGGCCAGGAGUGAAAGCCCGGGGCCCAACCCCCGGACUGCUUUGGAAACUGUAUAGCUGGAGUGCAGGAGAGGUAAGUGGAAUUCCUAGUGUAGCGGUGAAAUGCGUAGAUAUUAGGAGGAACACCAGUGGCGAAGGCGGCUUGCUGGACUGUAACUGACGUUGAGGCUCGAAAGCGUGGGGAGCAAACAGGAUUAGAUACCCUUGUAA
rnacentral:rRNA from 1 species